UGGCAGGAUCAACCAGGUAGCAUUCCACGAUGACUUUGGCGCUGCAUGGACGAAUCCAAAACAACACCAAUUGUCGUUCGCGUAUAGCGUGUGACGCUAUUUUAGGGGCAAAAUAGAGGCCGAUGAUGCCUCGUACCCACGAGGUACUCCAUGUCCAAGAGAACGAGCACCGUGCCAUUGAUCCAACGGCCCAAGAACAUUACUUAAGCAAGCCCAUGGGGGUUGGAGCAUGACAUUUGCUUCGAAGUUCACCUCGUACCACGAACCCAAGGGCUCGCAGCGAAAGGCGAAAAAGGGUCCAUUAAUCCGAAGAAUUCCCGCACUUUGGGUAUAGAACGCAAGAAACCAAGCUUGGCCAAGAUGUUUUUCAUGCUCUUGAACCAAUUACUGAAGAGGCAUGCCGGAUACGUUGUCGU
rnacentral:misc_RNA from 1 species